UGCCCGCAGGCUGAGGGUUGCCUUGGAAACACAGAUGGUGGACGAAGCGCGCACAAAAGAGCGCAAACCUGUGGCAGCAGCUGGAGACCGAGACGCCCAUUAGCGCACGUCUGCUCUAAACACCACCGUUUUGUUAAUACCGCUGCUCCAUUCUUUGUGUAAAGGGUUGUAUCGACGUCCUGUAGUCCUCGGACCGGAUCCCAGUUUUUUUUUUGCGCAGCUGUGGUGAACACUCCCACAUCUGCGGUCUCAGGUCUAGAGCCAUAAAAGACGGUGUUUACGCGCAUCUCUCCCGUGAGUCCACACCAGCGCGCCCGUGGAUUUGCUUUAUUACCACGCCAGGUUGGUUUCGUCACGUGAAACAGCAGAUUUUUUGGUGGAAAAGAAACAAUUAGGACGACGACACAGAUUCUGAUACUGCGAGAGGACAGGUUAUUAGUCUAUUGAGUCAAUGGAUUAUUAUGUCCUUUGCUCUGGAAAGUGGGAUACCAAGGAUGCCCUCGGAGGCCAACAAAACAGGUCAUGUGGAGUCUUUUUUUAAAUUAUAAUGUUUUUAAUUAUGUCUUCAUCACAUAAUAUCAAAAAGAAAAUGAUGAGAUUUAGUCGAUCAUGACCUAAAUAAUCAAAAAGAAGUGUUGGUACAGUGAGCUAGCUUCCCCAUUCUGCCUUCUUUGUCUUGUGCCUUCUUCUCCAGUUUCACUGAUGAACAGGCUCAGAGUGGACCUCAUUGUACUCCUGGCCACCUCGCCCUCCCCUGUGCUGCUGCUCCUGCUGCUCUCAGAAUGGUUGAGGCCAUGAAUCCAGAUGAAGACCGGGAAGAACAUCCACUUUGACUGAGAAAACACUGAGAUUUAGUGAUUUAGUGAGCAGCAGCUGUAAAGCUUGUUUCUAGCAGGUGUUGUUUUGAGAUGAGAAUAAUUUAAAGCAUAGAUUUCUAAACAGAUGUGUGCUCUCUGUGAGAAGUAGCUGCAUCAACUCCUUUGCUUUCCAAGUUAGCAGGUGUGACGCAUGCAUCCCCCAUGUGUCUCCUAUAGGCCGUUUACUCUUCACACUUUUAUGUUACUUCGCACAUAAAUAGAAGACACACAGUUCAAAAUAAUCCUCUUACUGAAGUUAUAUAUUUUGCAUGGCAAAACCCCACAGGUUUCCAGGCUUGUAUUGGCCUGUUUAUCAGGUCACAAUAGUCAAUGUGGAAUAAGGUCCAAUGAUUUAGAGACAACACACAUGCUGCCAUUAUUUUCCACAUGACUAACAAAAUAUAUGGUAAUCUUUUUACAUACACAGAUUGAGGAUUUACAGUGUCACAAAAAAUAAUAUCCAAAUUUGACACAGUUUAUAUGAAAAAACAGUGAUAAUUGCAUACUUUUGGAGUCAACCUUAUUGGCAUACUUCAUUUACUUUGGUGUUGCUAGAUCAAUACCACCGCCUUGUUUGAUUUAACAACAGAUUUUCUAACAACUUUCUAACACUAACACUUUCUGAAACCCUUGAUUUGUCCAUGUUUAAGACUGGCACAAGGAGAACACUGGGCUGUACUGGUUGUUCACCACCACAGUCAGUGAAUUAUGUCUCAAAGUAACAAACUUUUAACAUUUGUCCAGUGUUUUUUGUGCGUCUGAAGUGCAUGGUAUGGGUUUAUGCUACAUUUGUGUGUGCAUGUUUUACAAUGAUCCUGAGCCAUAACCUGCCUCACAAAUAUUAAAAUGCCUGAAGCUGUUUCUUCCGAGUUUAAAGGUACCAGCAAAAGGACCGGCUAUUUGAAAAGGUUUUUUGUUGUUGUCAUUAUAUCCAUUUCCAUCUUUUAGCCUCAUUUAGGUUUGAUUCUAUGCUUGAUUAUACUGGUGAUAUUUCAUAAGAUUUUAGACUUCUUUAAAAAAACGAAUGUACCUUUACAAUUAGCCCCUUUGCCCUUGCCUGGAAGAUACUAACUGAAUCUUACUAAUAUCUAACAAAAUUACUAAUGCUCCCUAACAGUGACACUAACAUGAUUCAACGCUUCAACGCUAUCAGCUGCUGUCUAACCAGUUUUUUCUGCUCUCCCAGCAUCCUACAGCUCAUUAAACGUCUGUCUUCAAAUUACUGUAGAGUAAAGAUAAAGUUAAAAUAAGAUGUAUUGAAUAAGCAAUGACAGUGAAAUGGUUGCAGGAUUGGGAUAUAAGCCACCAAAGCUAUGUAAAAUUACAGGAUGACCACAUGUUGCAUUUAAUCAGUGAAAAUGACUUUUAUCUUUAACACUUUUAAAAUGAUAUUUAUCCAGAAACCACACUGACCUUCUCAGUCUAUUGUAAAAAAAAUAAAAAAAAGCACUGUGUGGUCAGCCUGUGCUAAAUAGUGCCUGGCUUGUGCUUGCUGAGUAGUCAACCACUGCCCAGAAAACUAACAUGUUCUGAUGUUCUUCUUGCCAAUACUUCAUAUGUAUUGUCUGUGUUUUGUCCUAUGCAACAUUUUAAUAUGAGAAAUACUGACAAUUAUCUUACCCACAACAAAGCCUUACGAGCACUGAAUGCCAUGCUAAUAGUGAUUUUCAACUGGUGUCAAAUGUCAUUUUUUUGUAAUAUUUUGAUUACAUUUAAUGGCACAAUGGAUAGAAACCUUUUUGAUAAAACUGUUAACCACUUUUGAACCAGUUUAGAACCACUGAAGCAUAGCACUGGCAAAGACUCGGAAGCUACAGGUUUCUGUUUUAUUUAUUUAUUUUUUACUUUUAUUUUUAACUUUUUUUUUUAUAUACAUUUUUUAAUAAAAAAAAAAAAAAAAAAAAAAAAAUCUAACACAAAAAACUAAUUCACUAACCCACUAACGACCGACUAACCCAUCUGCUGAAUUUUUUUAAACAAAAUUUACUAACAAUAAUUUAACUUACCAUAAAUGCAAAUUAACAAAUUCUUUCUCUAUCAUUAUUUAUUAUAUAUAUUAUCAGUGCUGCCAUAUUCUGGGACUCCACAGCGUAGCCCAUAAGAAAAAAACAAACAAACAAAAACAAAACACACACUGAUAUUUUCUGUUUCUAAUAUAAACCUAUUUACAUUGACAUUUGUUAGGUUUAUAUUCAAUUUAAUUUCCCUUGACUGCUAUAGCCACAGUUGGACAGCAGGGGGCAGUGCUUCCACGUUGUUUCCCCUCACAGUUUGUCUAAAUCAGGUCUACUUAUUCUUAUUUGAGCAGAUUUCACAGCUGAUAUUAAUGUAGCCUAAAAUUUGAUUUCUUAAGUGCUACUUGGCAUGUAACUUUUUAUACAUAGGCUAUUUUACAUACUAUUAUUUAUUUUUUUGUAAUUUGUUCUCAAUUAUGGAACACUGAAACAACAAUAAACGUGAUACAAAAUUCUA